GGAAACCUUCAAAGGCUCAUAUGGCAGCCAUAUUUGCGCAGAUCGUGAUUUGGCAGCCCCAAGAGUAAUUGAACACCGAGGAUUAUAGUAUGGAAUCCUCAAACAAACCGUGGAGGCUGGCUUUCGAGACACGGAAUAAUUCAACGCUGAUAAACGCUGUAACACUAUCUUUCCGGACAUAGCCAUAUUAUGACAUCACUGAUAACGAAGCACUGCUAUAGAGAAAUGCACCAAAAGUGCGGGAAAAGACCGAGCGCUCACAGAGUACUAACGUGCAACACAAAUAAAGGAAUCUGCUAUAAAAACAUCAGAGGCGCGUUAAAUCGGACGCAAGAAGAAUUCUUGAGACUGGGCGUGUCUUAAGAAUGUGGGAGUGCGCGUGAACGAGUACAGCAUGGCCCAGACAACAUGGCAUAUAUACUUCAUGCUAGGAGUACAGCAUAGCCACGACAACAUGGCAUAUAUACUUCAUGCUAGGAGUACAGCAUAGCCACGACAACAUGGCAUAGAUACUUCUUGCUAGGGGUACAGCAUAACCCAGACAACAUGGCAUAGAUACUUCAUGCUAGGAGUACAGCAUAACCCAGACAACAUGGCAUAGAUACUUCAUGCUAGGAGUACAGCAUAACCCAGACAACAUGGCAUAGAUACUUCAUGCUAGGAGUACAGCAUAGCCACGACAACAUGGCAUAGAUACUUCAUGCUAGGAGUACUUUACUCUCAUUAUCAAAAGUUCACUAAAAGGACAAUUUGGCAGCUUAUAAACUCCCAAGAAGGCAGACAUGGAAAUACUUCCAUUUAUAUUGAUAGUCGUCAAGGCAACAGGCCGAGCGACGUGAGCUCGCGCUUAGCGUCUUUCGUUGGGCAGGUCUUACCUUGUCACAAUGUCUCAACGAUACACAGCUUAUUGAUGGAAGAUAAGAUAUGAUCACGCGAAUAAAGUCACGCAACAGGUGUCAUACAAUGAGAGUCACGCAAGAGCGCGAUAAGUAAUGCCGUCAGAAUGACAGCGUGUAUUCUCACUUGAAGUAACCUAAAGUAAUGCAAUACUGAUAAAAGAGAUAAGAAAAUCGUCAAUAAUAUACAGAGGAGAAAUGGUAGCAAUUUCUCGUGGGAAAUAACAGCUGAUUUCGAUCACGAGUUAUGUUCAAAAUAGUUACACUCAAAUCAAGUUGAAAGUCCCAUCAUUCGAAUUGUCCUGGUUUCUUAGUUUCAAAUAACAAAGCUUUGGUUAUUUAGAAAUGUCAUACGAUUAUCACAUCAUUGAGAGAACUAGGAUCCGAUUCACAUUCAAAACAGUAAAAAGACGGUUAAAAACCUUAUUCAUUGUAAACAUCAAAUAGACCUUGCCAUUUUAAUAUAAACAUUUUCUUGCUUCGUCGAAAGAAAAUACAAAUACAUCAUCAAUAAAAAAUGACAGAAAAAACACUUAUAAGUAAGCGAUUUCAAUCAACCAGUAAAU